ensembl:lncRNA
AGCUAGGCCGCGGGGUGAGCGGGGCGGCCUGGAGGCAUCGCGGCUGCUCCGUGAAGGGCAGGGGCGAGCGAGGGAAGCCUGUGCAGCGCGUUGACGUGAACUCUGGGGGGAGACCGCAAGGAGAUCCCAGCUGGGCGCCAGGAAAGCACAACUGAAGCGCCGGCCGGCAGCAUGGUGAACGAGAGGCGCGAGGGCGGGCUGCUGGUGCACCUGGGCCCCCAGCUGCAGGCCUACCCGCAGGAGCUGCUGCGGCAGCGGCGCGGCCCCGACGGCGCCCCGGAGUACCUGGUGCGGUGGCGCGUGGUCGGCGCGGAGGAGCGGGCGGCGGGCGGCGGCGGCGGCGGCGGCGGCUCCUC